rnacentral:pre_miRNA from 1 species
UAAGUACUCCCUUUGUCCGAAAAAGCUUGUCCCAAGCUUGUUUCUCAAAUGAAUGUAUCUAGCAACAAGUUAGUGUUAUAUACAUCUAUUUGAGAGACAACCUUUUUCGAACGAAGGAAGUAUAAG